GGCCUUCGGGGUGUCACCCCUAUUAGAUUGCAAAUUUUAAGUAGCCGGUUAUUGCCUGCCGGGGCUU
rnacentral:tRNA from 1 species